UACGUAGGGGGCAAGCGUUGUCCGGAUUUAUUGGGCGUAAAACGCUCGUAGGUGGCUACGUCAAGUCGGACGUGAAAUCUCCCGGCUCAACUGGGAGAGGUCCUUGGAUACUGGCGAACUUGGGAGUGCAGAGGAAAGUGGAAUUCCCGGUGUAGUGGUGAUAUGCGUAGAUAUCGGGAGGAACACCAGUGGCGAAGGCGGCUUUCUGGGCAUUUCCUGACGCUGAGACGCGAAAGCGUGGGGAGCGAACCGG
rnacentral:rRNA from 1 species